rnacentral:rRNA from 1 species
UUCCCUACGGGGGGCUGCAGUGGGGAAUUUUGGACAAUGGGCGAAAGCCUGAUCCAGCCAUGCCGCGUGCAGGAUGAAGGCCUUCGGGUUGUAAACUGCUUUUGUACGGAACGAAAAGACUCUUUCUAAUAAAGAGGGUCCAUGACGGUACCGUAAGAAUAAGCACCGGCUAACUACGUGCCAGCAGCCGCGGUAAUACGUAGGGUGCAAGCGUUAAUCGGAAUUACUGGGCGUAAAGCGUGCGCAGGCGGUUAUGUAAGACAGAUGUGAAAUCCCCGGGCUCAACCUGGGAACUGCAUUUGUGACUGCAUAGCUAGAGUACGGUAGAGGGGGAUGGAAUUCCGCGUGUAGCAGUGAAAUGCGUAGAUAUGCGGAGGAACACCGAUGGCGAAGGCAAUCCCCUGGACCUGUACUGACGCUCAUGCACGAAAGCGUGGGGAGCAAACAGGAUUAGAUACCCGAGUAGUCU